GCAGGGAAAGCAUGAAUGAGGAGCUCAUGUCUCAGGGGUCUGAUGACUCAAGCUUUGUUCUCAUGGUUACUCUGAUGUCAGAGAAGCCCCGGUGGGUGUGAAUAGCCUGGAAAACAAAAUAUCUGCCCAGGACCUCUUAACCUUCUGGAUACAUAAUUUUACUAAUCUUACAGGAUCGACACCUAGCUGGUUUACGUAGAAUAGGGAAAGCUAGACAAAACAGCUGUUGUGUUGGCAACACGGAGACUUCAUAACGAUAUCACAUACUGCAUGAUGGAACUCUCCAGUAGACAGGUCACAAAGGAACUUCUACUGUUCAGUGCCUCCAAGGAGCCCUUGGAAGAUGGAAAGUUUGAUGACUUGAUUUCCAAGCACAUGAGCUGAAUGUUUGAAAUUAGAUUUAGGGAGGUAAAUGGAAAUCUGUGGUCUCUAAAUGGAAGGUCUGCAUUUUAGGGCAGUAUUUCCCACCUGAGAUGAUUGGAAUUAUGAACAUUUGUCUCAAUUGUCAUAAAAUCACUGGUCUGCUGAUUUUGCCAACAGAGUAGACAAGACUUUUUUGUCAUGUAUGAUGGAGGCACCAUAAUCUCCCAGCCUUGGAGGUGAAGAGUCUCAAAGUGGUGAAGCAUGGAUACAAUGUAAGGAAAGACUUACUGAAGCAGCAGAGAGCUGAGGAAAGUUCUGUAAAAGGAACGGUCUCAAUGGCAUGUGCUUUGCCACUUUACUCUUUCCUUCUUCCUGCCUGGAACAUGAUCCAAUGCCUGAAGAAAGUUCACCAACCUGUGGUUCCUCAGAAAGACAACAGAAUAUCAGAUCCUAGAUACACAAGCUGCAUAGAGUGUUUGGUGGAAACUGAUCCUUUCACGUCUGAACUGCAAGUGAACCAAGUAAACAAAGAAUUAAUCCCAGCAAAUUCAAGGGUGUACUCACUUGACAGAAGUUGACUGAUGUUGCAAAUGGAAAGGAUUUUUCCCUACCAAAAAAUAGUGAAAAAGAAACUCCCAGAAGAAGAAGCAUGUAAAAUGUACAAUAUCUUGAAGGAGUCCAGGGGAAGGACCAGGGAUAACAAGAGGUUUCCUGUGACUAGCAGCAAAGCCAGAGAAAAUGUAAGUGCCUCAAUCAGCUGGGGACAGAUUAUGAAAGGCCUUUGCUAAGGGGUCUGGAUUCCUGAGCAAGAUA